UACGGAGGGUGCAAGCGUUAUCCGGAUUCACUGGGUUUAAAGGGUGCGUAGGCGGGUUGGUGAGUCCGUGGUGAAAUCCCCAAGCUUAACUUGGGAACUGCCGUGGAUACUAUCAAUCUUGAAUAUCGUGGAGGUAAGCGGAAUAUGUCAUGUAGCGGUGAAAUGCUUAGAUAUGACAUAGAACACCAAUUGCGAAGGCAGCUGGCUACACGAAAUAUUGACACUGAUGCACGAAAGCGUGGGGAUCAAACAGG
rnacentral:rRNA from 1 species